UACGUAGGGUGCGAGCGUUGUCCGGAAUUAUUGGGCGUAAAGGGCUCGUAGGCGGUCUGUUGCGUCGGGAGUGAAAACUCAGGGCUUAACCCUGAGCCUGCUCCGAUACGGGCAGACUAGAGGUAUGCAGGGGAGAACGGAAUUCCUGGUGUAGCGGUGAAAUGCGCAGAUAUCAGGAGGAACACCGGUGGCGAAGGCGGUCUCUGGGCAGUAACCUGACGCUGAGGAGC
rnacentral:rRNA from 1 species